CAUGAUACUGGCAGUAUGCUUCCAGAAUCUGAAUGCAAGAUGUAAGCCAUUCAAAGGUCAUUAUGACAUAGUGUUGGUCAUUUAAGUUUCCUCUCUGGUUCAGUCAUCCCGGCAGGGGGUAGCGUUAUCUCUGAAACUUUCCACUGAAGCCACGUAUGUUACUUGCACGGCAGCACUUGUACAGUGACCAAGGAACAAUAACGGCCGAUUUAUUUCAAAGAGGAGAUCCUAUUUUUCUGGUGUUUUUUUUUUUUUGGUGCAGACAAAAACCAUUCAGUUGCUACCAAGGCAGAGAAUUGUGUUCUUAGUAGAGGAUAUAAUGAUUCCGUUUCUUUUCUGACAUCCACUCUGAUAUGACGAUGGCAUGGUGGACAUAUAAACCUACAGGAUUAUCUGGAGCAGGCCAAAGUGUUCUCAUCUGGCAAGUACAAGCAUGCAGGGACAACGAAAAUGAAUGUGGAGAACUUGAACUCAAAGUGCCAAACUAAACUCAUUCAAAACAAAACUGGAAAUAAGUGUUUUCAUAAGAGCAAGUUUUAGUGAGCAAGUGAUUAAAUGCACAGACGAUUUAAUGUAUCUAUUGAGCAUGUUUCUGAACAUUUCCUGGGAGGAUCCAACUUUUUAUAAAGAAUCAUUUCUAUAUUGUGUAAUUUAAUGUUUUAAAAUGGAUAUUAAAUGCAUUUGUUAAAACACCAUUUCUUUUCAUUUUUUUCUCUCAUGUUUAAAUGGCUAGGAAAUGGUUAAUUUGCAUAUUAACUGUCCCAGAAAAAUGGUGUUUCAAUGGGUUUUAAA